GUCAGCCACGCCGGGAAUUUCCAAGAUGAGGUUUUCUAAUUCAGUAGGCGAUACCUGAAAAAUUCAACAAGAAAAUAGCGUCAUAAACAAAUUUUACUAGUAGUUACUAGUAUUUAAACAGUUUGGUCUGGAAUAAUUCAUAUAGGUCAAAUAAUAAGUCAAAAGGUGACUCACCUGAUUUCCUUUGACUUUGAUAAGUUCCUUGCAUCUGUCGACGAUGUAGAAGUAGUUAUCUUCGUCGUAGUAAGCAACGUCGCCCGUAUGCAGCCAUCCGUCCUCAUCGAGCGUCUCGGCCGUCGCUUUCUCAUUGUUGAGGUACCCACCCAUCACCUAUGCACAUGUAAGUACAUUCAGCAUUAAUCUUGGUUGUCACAUUCAUUAAACAUGCAACUUUCGCGAGACUUCUUGCACGUGUUGAUAAGAUAAAAAAAUUCAUGAAUGAAAUAUGAGCAAACUAAAUUAUAUAUAGGUAUUUUAUCUUGUUUUAAAUAGUAAAAAUGCAAAUAAUUAUUACUACGUGAGAAGCGGGUUAAAAAUAAUGGUUUCUAAAAAAUUGUUGUAUGAAUCUAAAAUUACAAUAUACCUGUGGUCCCCUAAUCAACAAUUCGCCAGAUUUAUGUGUUCCUUGCGCUUCGCCAGUUGUUAAACUAAUAAUUUUCGCCUCUGUGUUGGGAUAUAAAACACCCACGGUGUUAAUUUUUGAUCUGGGAGUCAUAAGCGGCAUGAAAAUUGACACCGGAGAACUUUCAGUCAUUCCAUAGCCUAUAAUAUGGUAUUAUUAAUAAUUUAUAUACAUAAUUUCACUUCUCUUAAAUUUACCUUGUCUAAUAUGGAUAUCUUCACGUCCAACCUUCUCGCGAAACUUAGCAAUCAAGCCCUCGGUGGCUGGCGCCGCACCCGAGGUAACAUUUUUAAUAGAACUCAGAUGAUCUCUAGUUACAGCCGGAUGCGAAGCCAAAAACAGCAUUAACGAAGGCACAACAAAUAGGUAAGUGGGUCGAUGCUCCACUAGAGCUUUAAUAUAAUCUUCUGGUG